CUGUAGUUAAUUAAAAUGUUGAUUCCCUUCUUCCUAUGGACAUGGUUGUGCAAUGCUUGUAAACAGAAGCCUCCUUGGUAGUGUGUGCAGCCUCUUGUUCUUGUAUGUAUUGCCCUAAGGGACCCAAGAGAUAGUU
ensembl:snoRNA SNORA70 Small nucleolar RNA SNORA70